GAAUAUUGGUCAAUGGACGCAAGUCUGAACCAGCCAUGCCGCGUGAAGGAUGAAGGUCCUCUGGAUUGUAAACUUCUUUUAUCUGGGACGAAAACGGGAUUUUUAUCUCAAUUGACGGUACCAGAGGAAUAAGCACCGGCUAACUCCGUGCCAGCAGCCGCGGUAAUACGGAGGGUGCGAGCGUUAUCCGGAUUUACUGGGUUUAAAGGGUGCGUAGGUGGGCUUAUAAGUCAGUGGUGAAAUCUCCGAGCUUAACUUGGAAACUGCCGUUGAUACUAUAGGUCUUGAAUUAUCUGGAGGUAAGCGGAAUAUGUCAUGUAGCGGUGAAAUGCUUAGAUAUGACAUAGAACACCAAUUGCGAAGGCAGCUUACUACAUAUAAAUUGACGCUGAGGCACGAAAGCGUGGGGAUCAAACA
rnacentral:rRNA from 1 species